UGGGGAAUAUUGGACAAUGGGCGAAAGCCUGAUCCAGCAACGCCGCGUGAGGGAUGACGGCCUUCGGGUUGUAAACCUCUUUCAGCGCAGACGAAGCGAAAGUGACGGUAUGCGCAGAAGAAGCACCGGCCAACUACGUGCCAGCAGCCGCGGUAAUACGUAGGGUGCGAGCGUUGUCCGGAAUUAUUGGGCGUAAAGGGCUCGUAGGCGGUCUGUUGCGUCAGGAGUGAAAACUCGGGGCUUAACCCCGAGCCUGCUUCUGAUACGGGCAGACUAGAGGUAUGCAGGGGAGAACGGAAUUCCUGGUGUAGCGGUGAAAUGCGCAGAUAUCAGGAGGAACACCGGUGGCGAAGGCGGUUCUCUGGGCAUUACCUGACGCUGAGGAGCGAAAGUGUGGGGAGCGAACA
rnacentral:rRNA from 1 species